rnacentral:rRNA from 1 species
GAAACCGCGUCGCUAGAUGUGGUGGAGUCGUCCUUGAAAUACCACCCUUGUAGUUUUGAUGUUCUAACGUUGGUCCCUGAAUCGGGAUUACGGACAGUGCCUGGUGGGUAGUUUGACUGGGGCGGUCUCCUCCCAAAGAGUAACGGAGGAGCACGAAGGUGGGCUAAACACGGUUGGACAUCGUGUGGUUAGUGCAAUGGCAUAAGCCCGCUUGACUGCGAGAAUGACAAUUCGAGCAGGUGCGAAAGCAGGUCAUAGUGAUCCGGUGGUUCUGAAUGGAAGGGCCAUCGCUCAACGGAUAAAAGGUACUCCGGGGAUAACAGGCUGAUACCGCCCAAGAGUUCAUAUCGACGGCGGUGUUUGGCACCUCGAUGUCGGCUCAUCACAUCCUGGGGCUGAAGUCGGUCCCAAGGGUAUGGCUGUUCGCCAUUUAAAGUGGUACGCGAGCUGGGUUUAGAACGUCGUGAGACAGUUCGGUCCCUAUCUGCCGUGGGCGUUGGAAAAUUGAAAGGGGCUGCUCCUAGUACGAGAGGACCGGAGUGGACGAACCUCUGGUGUUCGGGUUGUCAUGCCAAUGGCAUUGCCCGGUAGCUAAGUUCGGAAUCGAUAACCGCUGAAAGCAUCUAAGCGGGAAGCGAGCCUUGAGAUGAGUUUUCCCUGGCGCUAUAAGCGUCCUAAAGGGUUGUCGUAGACUACGACGUUGAUAGGCAGGGUGUGUAAGUGCUGCGAGGCAUUGAGCUAACCUGUACUAAUUGCCCGUGAGGCUUAACCAUACAACACCCAAGGGGUUU